GGGCGCUGUCUCAGAUUAGCCAUGCAUGUCUCAGUAUAAGCUUCUAUACGGCGAAACUGCGAAUGGCUCAUUAAAACAGUUAUAGUUUAUUUGGUGGUCAGCAAUUACAUGGAUAACCGUGGUAAUUCUAGAGCUAAUACAUGCGCCCAAACCCGACUUCGUGGAAGGGUUGUGUUUAUUAGAUACAGAACCAACCCAGGCUCCGCCUGGCCUUGAGGUGAUUCAUAAUAACCGAACGAAUCGCAUGGCUAUGCCGGCGAUAGACCAUUCAAGUUUCUGACCUAUCAGCUAUCGUCGGUAGGGUAUUGGCCUACCGUGGCAAUGACGGGUAACGGAGAAUUAGGGUUCGAUUCCGGAGAGGGAGCCUGAGAAACGGCUACCACAUCUAAGGAAGGCAGCAGGCGCGCAAAUUACCCAAUCCUGACGCAGGGAGGUAGUGACAAGAAAUAACAAUACAGGGCAUACAUGUCUUGUAAUUGGAAUGAGUAAACUUUAAAUCA
rnacentral:rRNA from 1 species